CGUAAUGUUUAUUAAAAAACAGCAGUGUUGUUACUGCAUUGGAAAACCAAACUUACUUUUGAUGGCUGCUGUUGAUUGAUACAACUACCUAAAAAAUACAAGAAGAAUUUCGACGUUUUGAGCGAAGGCCCUUCGUCGGGAAGUUAUACAUGUGUCGAAGGGUCUUCACUCGAAACGUCCAAGUGAUCUGCUUGUAAUUUUCAUGGAAUGGUAUCUCUCUCAAUCCACAGCUGUACUGUAAUCGUCGCUACCUACACUGGUACAGACCGAGAUUACUAUUUUAUGUUGCUUGUAACGGUUUUGGGCUAAAAUACUAGUAUUCAU